rnacentral:rRNA from 1 species
CCUCGGUGGCUGCAGUGGGGAAUAUUGGACAAUGGGCGAAAGCCUGAUCCAGCCAUGCCGCGUGUGUGAAGAAGGCCUUCGGGUUGUAAAGCACUUUCAGUGGGGAAGAAAGCCUUGGGGCUAAUACCCUCGAGGAAGGACAUCACCCACAGAAGAAGCACCGGCUAACUCCGUGCCAGCAGCCGCGGUAAUACGGAGGGUGCGAGCGUUAAUCGGAAUUACUGGGCGUAAAGCGCGCGUAGGCGGUCUGAUAAGCCGGUUGUGAAAGCCCCGGGCUCAACCUGGGAACGGCAUCCGGAACUGUCAGGCUAGAGUGCAGGAGAGGAAGGUAGAAUUCCCGGUGUAGCGGUGAAAUGCGUAGAGAUCGGGAGGAAUACCAGUGGCGAAGGCGGCCUUCUGGACUGACACUGACGCUGAGGUGCGAAAGCGUGGGUAGCAAACAGGAUUAGAUACCCUGGUAGUC